GAUGAACGCUGGCGGCGUGCUUAACACAUGCAAGUCGAACGGAAAGGCUCCUGCUUGCAGGGGUACUCGAGUGGCGAACGGGUGAGUAACACGUGGGUGAUCUGCCCUGCACUUCGGGAUAAGCCUGGGAAACUGGGUCUAAUACCGGAUAGGACGAUGGUUUGGAUGCCAUUGUGGAAAGUUUUUCGGUGUGGGAUGAGCUCGCGGCCUAUCAGCUUGUUGGUGGGGUAAUGGCCUACCAAGGCGUCGACGGGUAGCCGGCCUGAGAGGGUGUACGGCCGCAUUGGGACUGAGAUACGGCCCAGACUCCUACGGGAGGCAGCAGUGGGGAAUAUUGCACAAUGGGCGCAAGCCUGAUGCAGCGACGCCGCGUGGGGGAUGACGGCCUUCGGGUUGUAAACUCCUUUCGCUAGGGACGAAGCGCAAGUGACGGUACCUGGAGAAGAAGCACCGGCUAACUACGUG
rnacentral:rRNA from 1 species